rnacentral:rRNA from 1 species
AUUGAACGCUGGCGGCAGGCCUAACAAAUGCAAGUCGAACGAGUGGCGGACGGGUGAGUAAUGUAUGGGAAACUGCCUGAUGGAGGGGGAUAACUACUGGAAACGGUAGCUAAUACCGCAUACCAUCAGAUGUGCCCAGAUGGGAUUAGCUAGGAGGUGGGGUAACGGCUCACAUAGGCGACGAGCCCUAGCAGGUAUGAGAGGAUGAUCAGCCAAACUGGGACUGAGACACGGCCCAGACUCCUACGGGAGGCAGCAGUGGGGAAUAUUGCACAAUGGGCGCAAGCCUGAUGCAGCCAUGCCGCGUGUAGGAAGAAGGCCUUAGGGUUGUAAAGUACUUUCAGCGGGGAGGCGUUACCCGCAGAAGAAGCACCGGCUAACUCCGUGCCAGCAGCCGCGGUAAUUC